CAAGCGAGGAGCUCUGUGUCUUAAAUAAGACCUGUGGCAGCAGUCUGGAAGGCCAAGCUGAAGAGUGUUGGUGGAGCAAGCUUCUUGCAGCUGUCCCCCGAGUUUUUGCUCAGACUGGGCACUGUCUAGCUCCAGGGCUCUCUCCUGGGACCAAAUGAACAUGGAUCUCAGAGGCGAGGUCGGGCGGCUGCACAGAAGUUGGAGAGCUGCUGUCUGAUGCUCUGGAACUACAUGAGGUGACUGAAGUCGGCUCUGUGGACGGCCUCCUCCUCACUCAACUUCAUGGCCAUCGAUCAAUUUUCUAGAAAUUUCAAUCUGCUCUGGGAAGAACUUGCAAAGACUCAGAACCGAAGCUCUCAGGGAUAGCAGUGUCCUGUCAGUGACAUUGGAGAAGCCAAGAGUGAUGGUUCCCUGUGGGGACAUCAAGCAGUGGUACUCUGGGUGUUUGUAACCCACACAUUGGGAAUCUAUGUAUUGUUUCCAAUGCUCAAUGCACACUUCUUGUAAGUCCUGUAUAGCACUUUAAAACCUUGCAUAUUGUUAGGUCUUUAUAUAUAUUAACAUUACAUGUUAAAUAUAAAACUAUGAGCUUUAUAUUGUUAUGUCAUCUCAGUAAUUAUUACUUAUCAACAAGUUGUUAUCUUGAAAUACUUUUUUUACAAAGAAGCAAAGUUAUUUAUUAAUUGUAUUUGUAUCGAAUCUACAACCAUGUCAUUUUAAAUUUGGUAAUUUAUAAACAGUCACUGUUUUACUCUAA